rnacentral:rRNA from 1 species
AAAUUGAAGAGUUUGAUCAUGGCUCAGAUUGAACGCUGGCGGCAGGCCUAACACAUGCAAGUCGAACGGUAACAGGAAACAGCUUGCUGUUUCGCUGACGAGUGGCGGACGGGUGAGUAAUGUCUGGGAAACUGCCUGAUGGAGGGGGAUAACUACUGGAAACGGUAGCUAAUACCGCAUAAUGUCGCAAGACUAAAGAGGGGGACCUUCGGGCCUCUUGCCAUCGGAUGUGCCCAGAUGGGAUUAGCUAGUAGGUGGGGUAACGGCUCACCUAGGCGACGAUCCCUAGCUGGUCUGAGAGGAUGACCAGCCACACUGGAACUGAGACACGGUCCAGACUCCUACGGGAGGCAGCAGUGGGGAAUAUUGCACAAUGGGCGCAAGCCUGAUGCAGCCAUGCCGCGUGUAUGAAGAAGGCCUUCGGGUUGUAAAGUACUUUCAGCGGGGAGGAAGGGAGUAAAGUUAAUACCUUUACUCAUUGACGUUACCCGCAGAAGAAGCACCGGCUAACUCCGUGCCAGCA